rnacentral:tmRNA from 1 species
GGGGGCGUCCCGGUUUCGACUGAACAUUCGAGGCGCCGGCUGCAUGUGGAGGUUGAUCGGCUGGCCUCCUUAAAAGCCGCUCAAACAAUCAAAUGCCUAUUCCAAGAACGAAUACGCAAUGGCUGCGUAACAUACGCGCCCGAUUCAACGCCUGACGCCUACUAAGGCCGCGAAUCCUAGCUCAGUAGGCAGGUGCCGUGCGGGGGAACCGCGUACGGCAUGACAUCCACAGGUUCCUGGCUAUGAUGGAAGGCCGACGCAGAGCGGACCACCGGCGAGAGCAGCUAAUCUGCGUCUGAACAUGGAGAUGCUUGCGUCAACAGUGUCCAGGACAGGGGUUCGACUCCCCUCGCCUCCA